AAUCUACAGUUUGAACUGCUUCUUACAGUGGUGCAUCUGAUUUUUAGUAUGUGGAUUCUGAGAGUAUUAAUCAAUUUUUUAUAAUGUUUGGUUUCCUUAUGUUUUCUAUUUCAGAGUACCCGAGUGGCCUUGGACCAUCUGGAGUCUGUGCCUGAGAAACUGAGCCUACUAGAAGAUUUCAAAGACUUCAGAGAUUCCUGCAGUUCAUCUGAGAGAACUGUUGGAAGAUAUUGCAAAUACAGGGUUCACAGAAAUUCUCUUCAGCAUCACCAAGAUGACACCAAGUACAGAACCAAAAGUUUCAAAGGUGACAGAACCUUUCUGGAAGGUUCCCACACUCAUGGGUUAGAUCACUCAUCCUCUUGGCAGGAUCACAGUCGCUUCCUGUCUAGUCCAAGAUUUUCAUACAUGAACUCAUUUACCAAAAGAACUGUUGCUCCAGAUUCAGCUUCAAACAAGGAAGAUGCCACAAUGAAUGGAACAAGUUCACAACCCAAAAAA
rnacentral:sRNA from 1 species